UACGUAGGGUGCUAGCGUUGUUCGGAAUCACUGGGCGUAAAGCGUGUGUAGGUGGCUGAUCAAGUUCGAUGUGAAAUCCUUUGGCUUAACCAGAGAACUGCAUUGAAAACUGAUUUGCUAGAGUUCGGGAGAGGAAAGUGGAAUUCCUGGUGUAGCGGUGAAAUGCGUAGAUAUCAGGAGGAAUACCGGAGGCGAAGGCGACUUUCUGGACCGACACUGACACUGAGACACGAAAGCGUGGGGAGCAAACAGG
rnacentral:rRNA from 1 species